rnacentral:rRNA from 1 species
GUGGGGAAUAUUGCACAAUGGGCGCAAGCCUGAUGCAGCGACGCCGCGUGAGGGAUGACGGCCUUCGGGUUGUAAACCUCUUUUGUUAGGGAGCAAGCGAGAGUGAGUGUACCUUUCGAAUAAGCACCGGCUAACUACGUGCCAGCAGCCGCGGUAAUACGUAGGGUGCAAGCGUGAUCCGGAAUUAUUGGGCGUAAAGAGCUCGUAGGCGGCUUGUCGCGUCCGGUGGGAAAGUCCAUCGCUUAACGGUGGAUCUGCGCCGGGUACGGGCAGGCUAGAAUGCGGUAGGGGAGACUGGAAUUCCCGGUGUAACGGUGGAAUGUGUAGAUAUCGGGAAGAACACCAAUGGCGAAGGCAGGUCUCUGGGCCGUUAUUGACGCUGAGGAGCGAAAGCGUGGGGAGCGAACAGGAUUAGAAACCCCUGUAGUCC